GGCCAUGUGCCCGAGUGGCUCAGGGAACCGUCUGCAAAGCGGUGUACACGGGUUCGAAUCCCGUCAUGGCCU
rnacentral:tRNA from 1 species